rnacentral:rRNA from 1 species
CGCCUCUUGAAAACUCAUAAGAGGUCCAGCCUGCCCAGUGACUUAGUUUAACGGCCGCGGUAUUCUAACCGUGCAAAGGUAGCGUAAUAACUUGUCUUCUAAAUAAGGACUAGUAUGAAAGGCAUCACGAGGAACAAUCUGUCUCCUUUUUCUAAUCAGUGAAACUAAUCUCCCCGUGAAGAAGCGGGGAUAAACAUAUAAGACGAGAAGACCCUAUGGAGCUUUAGACACACCAAUUACUGCCCGCACACUUAAACUUCAGAGGAGAACCACAGACAUGAAAUUGGGAGUCUUCGGUUGGGGCGACCACGGAGAAUAACCAAUCCUCCGAGAUGAAAAGAAUUAUUCAUUAACCACAAGCCACAGCUUCACGUAUCAACAAAUUGUCAUUUAUUGACCCAGUAACCUGAUCAACGAACCAAGUUACCCUAGGGAUAACAGCGCAAUCCACUUUGAGAGCUCAUAUCGACAGGUGGGCUUACGACCUCGAUGUUGGAUCAGGGUGUCCUAGUGGUGCAGCCGCUACUAAAGGUUCGUUUGUUCAACGAUUAAAACCCU